rnacentral:rRNA from 1 species
GAGCGGCGAACGGGUGAGUAAUGCAUCGGAACGUGUCCCGUAGUGGGGGAUAACGCCGCGAAAGCGGCGCUAAUACCGCAUAUGCUUACGGAGGAAAGUGGGGGACUCGCAAGAGCCUCACGCUAUGGGAGCGGCCGAUGUCCGAUUAGCUUGUUGGUGGGGUAAUGGCCUACCAAGGCGACGAUCGGUAGCUGGUCUGAGAGGAUGAUCAGCCACACUGGGACUGAGACACGGCCCAGACUCCUACGGGAGGCAGCAGUGGGGAAUUUUGGACAAUGGGGGCAACCCUGAUCCAGCCAUGCCGCGUGCGGGAAGAAGGCCUUCGGGUUGUAAACCGCUUUUAGCUGGGAAGAAAAGGACGAGGCUAAUACCUUCGUUUUUUGACGGUACCGGCAGAAUAAGCACCGGCUAACUACGUGCCAGCAGCCGCGGUAAUACGUAGGGUGCGAGCGUUAAUCGGAAUUACUGGGCGUAAAGCGUGCGCAGGCGGUUCGUUGUGUCUGUGGUGAAAUCCCCGGGCUUAACCUGGGAAUGGCCAUGGAAACUGGCGAGCUUGAGUGUGGCAGAGGGGGGUGGAAUUCCGCGUGUAGCAGUGAAAUGCGUAGAGAUGCGGAGGAACACCGAUGGCGAAGGCAGCCCCCUGGGCUAACAC